rnacentral:rRNA from 1 species
AACGAACGCUGGCGGCAUGCCUAACACAUGCAAGUCGAACGAGACCUUCGGGUCUAGAGGCGCACGGGUGCGUAACGCGUGGGAAUCUGCCCUUGGGUUCGGACUAACACAGAGAAAUUUGUGCUAAGACCGGCUGAUGUCUUCGGACCAAAGAUUUAUCGCCCAGGGUUGAGCCCGCGUAAGAUUAGGUAGUUGGCGAGGUAAUGGCCUACCAAGCCGACGAUCUUUAGCUGGUCUGAGAGGAUGAUCAGCCAUACUGGGACUGAGACACGGCCCAGACUCCUACGGGAGGCAGCAGUGGGGAAUAUUGGACAAUAGGCGCAAGCCUGAUCCAGCAAUGCCGCGUGAGUGAUGAAGGCCUUAGGGUUGUAAAGCUCUUUUACCCGGGAUGAUAAUGACAGUACCGGGAGAAUAAGCUCCGGCUAACUCCGUGCCAGCCGCCGCAGUAA